AGCAGCAUCAUGGCAGUCAAGAGAAGGGAGCUGCAGCCAGUCAGGAAACUGGCUUUUCUUAGAAAGCUCAGGCUUUUCUGCACGUCAGGGUAAUACUCAGGAGCAAGCUGCUAAUGGAUCACUCCAUUAAUGCAAAAAUGCUCUAAGGCCUGGAAACAGAUGACAACACUCUUAUCAGAGUGGUGGUGUCCUGCUCCGAAAUAGAUGUACUGGAUAUCAGAAGAGAAUUCCUGACUAUGUAUGGGAAGUCUAUCUACUCCUUCAUUAAGGGAGACUGCUCAGGAGACUACAGGAAAGUUCUGCUGAAGCUCUGUGGCGGUGUUUGUAACUGUUGGUGAAUAACGCUCUGAAGGCAUCACAGACUGCCUGCUUGUCUCUGCAGUGCUCAGGGCUUUUCUGAGCUGCAGGCUCACUGCAGCCCCGUGGCACAGCCUCUCAUCUCAUGAUGGACUGAAGCUGGAGACUCCUGGCAGCAGAGGACGCUCCUGGCCCACAGAAGGGCUCACAGCUCCACUGCAGCUCUACCGACCUCAGUGCUGGUGAGGAGGCUGAGAUGCCUCCAAGUGAUGAAUGCAGUCCACCCAACCUUACACCUUGUGUGGUUCACCAUGUGAGGUGACCAGGAAGAAAGGUGGGCACAGGUAAUACUGCAUCAAAAGCGACUGCAGAGAUCUCGGGCUGGUAGUCCAAGGUGUGGGGGCCCAUGUGGUGCUGUGGGACAGGUGUGAAAGGAGGGCACUGGUGGUGUGCGCCAGACCUUGGCUGCAGGACUGGCGCUGGUGGCAGGGCCUUGGGUUCUGUGUCUGCAGGAUCUAUUUGCGGAUUGGUGUCUGCUUGGAAGGGAUGAGACCCACCUCCCUAAGGGAGGUGAGGAUAUUUUCAUCAGUAGGAUGGCAGCUUCACAAGGGAGAUUUUAAACUAAGAAUGGUGAGGGCUUUUGAUCACAGGGAUGGGUGAUACAAGGGAGAGGGACCAGAAAAUCAGCACUUGCAGGGCUGCAAGGAAAUGCCUGAAGGCACUGCUAUGGGGAGAUCCCCAUAUACGCCUGUGAUUGUCUGCUAGAUGGCUGUGAGAUUGAACCAAUUCCUCUCAGUGUUUCACAAUACCCGGUGAUAAAUGACCCGCAAGGACAGAGACAUUGGAGCCCUGUAGAUUACAAAAUGCUUAUGCAGCUGAAGAAGGCGGUGGUGGAGGGUGGCGUUAUGGGCUCAACUGCACAGCUUUUCCUUGAUACUAUCAGUAUGGCAGGCCCGUUAAUCUUUGACUGGCGCCAGGUUGCUAGAGCAUGCCCAGGUUCCCAUUUAUGAGGCUAUCUUGCAUGAGGAGGGGGAAAAGGUGAUAUUAGCAGCCCGAGACCCAGCGCACCCGUCACAUGGAGCCAUGCUAGAUAUGUUAAUGGGUGCUGAAACAGGGUUGACUCCCCAGGACCAGCUGAACCUCCCUGCCGCUGUGAUUAUUACAUCUGCCCAGUUGAGUCGCACCGCUCUGGAGCGCAUGCACUCCUUAUUGACUGGCUCCCCCAGUUAUCUUCAUAUCAGGCAGGGACCCGAUGAACACUUUGGCAGAUUUGCAGAUUGGGUGCAGACUGCUAUCGUGGGGAGCAAUCUCCCAGCCGAGGCACAGGAUAUUGUGCUUCGCGAGUGCUUGCGGUCUGGGGCCCUUCCUGCGUUCAAAACAGCCUUAGCAUCACUUCUUUCCUCCGCGACAGCUGGCGAGCUUAUUCAGCGUGGGUGCAACUUUGGUAGAGCUCAAGAGGCUCAGCCGGUGGUGCACGCCUUGCAGGUGUUUGCUGCACAGGUCUCUGGUUCUUCUGGCUGCUACAACUGCAAGGCGCCCGACCACAGAGCUCGAGAACGCCCUAAUAAGGGAACAACAGGGCCUCUUAACUUGGCGGGGCGGCACUUGUGCUGCUGGGUGUGUGGGGGCUCGCAUAUCACCCGAAGCUGCCCACAAAGGGGGCGGGGAAAACCUGUCAAUCAGGGAAACAAGAAAGCUGGGCCAGACAAGACGGGGAAGGCUCAGCAAAGUUGGAAGCCUGCCUCGGAGUCAGCCCAAGUGUGCCAGGUCCCGACCAAGAGUUUCAAUAAAAGCUCAUUGGGAAAGAGCGGGAAGGGAGAGCAAUAAAACACCUACAUCGCUGUCAAUAAAAGGCUGCACCCUGCCUGCAGACUGCUGGGUGGUGGGAUUGGGGGCCCUGGAUUCAGGGGUCCUUGUCCCUCUAUAGCAACCCACGAAGGACGGACACCUUGUUGCGUUCCCAGAGACGCUAGCUGCGCUGGCCCAGGAACAGGUAUCCCUUGUUGCUCUCACAAUGCCCCUUCAUGACAGACCAUAUGUUGACAUAAGUGUCCGCGUUCACGGGUUACUUGCCCCCUGUCCACCAUCUAUUCGUAUGGCCUGUACUGUGAACACAGGGGCCGACGUAACGACAAUAUCAGCCUCACAUUGGCCAUCCACCUGGCCGUUAGAUAGCAAAGUCAACGUGGUGGGUAGAGUAGGUGGCUCUAUUACAGGCUAUCGGAGUGCACUGCCAGUCACUAUUUCUUGGGAGGAAAAGGAUGGCACCGAGGUGACUUCUGCUCCCUUACGUCCCUUUAUCCUCAGUGUUCCCUUUGAGUUGCUCGGACGGGAUGUCCUGGCUGCCAUGGGGGCCACCAUCAACAUAGGAGCCCCACAGGGUUUUUGGUGGGGGCCACUGGGGAGGUCCCUUGCUGGUGAUUGCAGUGGCGAUCUGACUUGCCUAUCUGGACACCCCAGUGGCCCUUAAUGAAAGAGAAGCUCACCGCGCUGCAUGAACUUGUUGAAGCGGAGGUGCAAGUGGGCCACUUGGUUCCCUCCACUAGCCCCUGGAAUAGUCCCGUGUUUGUCAUUAAGAAAAGUCCAGGCAAGUGGCGGUUUUUGCAUGACUUAUGCAAGGUAAACGAUUCAAUGGAAUCCAUGGGAGCCUUACAACCAGGGCUGCCACUCCCAUCCAUGGUACCAAAAGAUUGCCAGUGUCUUGUAGCUGACCUUAAAGGUUGUUUCUUUAGCAUUCCCCUUCAUCCCAAUGACUGUAAGCGUUUCGCGCUAACCAUUCCAUCAAUCAACAAUGCAGAACCAGCUAAACGUUAUGAGUGGGUAAUACUCCCCCAGGGUAUGAAAAACUCACCAACAAUAUGUCAGAUGUUUGUGCAGCACACCCUCAAGGCUGUGCGUGACACUUGGCUGGGUCUUCUUAUCAUCCACUAUAUGGAUGAUUUGCUGCUAGCAGCUCCUGCACUACCCGAAAACUUAUAUGAGUGUGUGGGUGUGACAUUGAGGGGUUUCGGUCUAAGGAUAGGCAAGGACAAGACUCAACAUGUUGCUCCCUAUUCGUAUCUGGGAACGAAGUUGACAGAACGGAUGGUCCUGCCACAAAAACUGCUGGUGCCCACAACACAGGUCACGACCUUGCAUCAACUCCAGCAGCUGGUCAGCACCCUGCAGUGGCUGUGGCAAUUCAUUCCCAUCACUCCAGCUGAGUUCAAGCAGUUCACAAGGCUUGCUUUGCGGCGACACCAACUUGGCGGCUCCACAGGAGUUACUAGCUCACCAUCGUCAUCUCCUGUUGUUAUUUCUGGAACAGGUCCAAGGUUGGGUGUCCAAUAGAGGCCCAUAUUCUGUUUCAAAAGGAUGGGGCUAUUAUAAUUCUGCACCAGCAAAUUUCAGGUAAUCCCCUCUUAUUUGGGUAUGUGACCCCUGCUUCAGUUGCCCUUCCCCAGUGGGGUACCCUUUUAUCAUUGGCUAUCACCUGGGCCAGAUCAAAAACAGUAGUUGUGGCUGGAUACGAGCCAGAGCAGAUCAUGGUUGAACUGAACCCACAAGCCCUGCACAUGUUAGUUCAGGAAUCAGUGCAGGUACAAGUGGCCCUGGAAGGAUUCUGUAGGCCAUUGCAGAUCCUCAAGAGUCAACCGCUGCGUCUGCACCUCUGCAUGCAGGGACACAAGAGACGCACUCACGGAGUGUAGCUCAUGUGGCAAUUUAUUGCUGCGCAACAAGCCGUUAUAUACCGUGACACGCGACCGCCCAGGAAACCCAUGACCCAGUCCCCCCUCCCAUUGUACCACCCUUAACCCCACCUGUUACCCCAACAGUUAGGCCUGUUCUGCUUGUACAACUGUUCAAGAGACCCAUGGCCCUCUUGGCUGUGGAGCCAUCCCUCAACAAAAGGUGACACCAUUCUCCUUUCACAGACUUCAGCUUCAGUGUGACCGUCCACCCUGGGGAUAUGCUGGCUGUCACUGUGCCCACCAUCUGCCACAACGUCACCUGCAGACUCUGCGGAACUUCAAUGACCGUCCCCACACUGACCACCUCAUCCAGAGCAGCACUGCCACGUGUCACCGCCUCAGUACCGGUCCCAAGUGUUCCCUGUGCCGGCAAUCCCCCAGAAGUGAGUGAGUGGGCAGUGGCAACAACCUGGGCUCCUCGCCGAGCCCUGCACAGGUGGCAGUGUUCCAGGAGCACCACCUCUGGCCGCAUCCAUCCCUCUCCAAAAACAAGCUGAUGCUGUUCUCCUGGUUUGAGUGUCUGUGUACAGACUGUGUGACUGCCCGAGGGGAACCUUCCAACAAACUACUGCCUGAACUGAACCGAACUUCGGUGUCAUGAGUGUAGCUGCAGAUGCAGUAACUGUAAUGAAACUGUAACUAUCUGAAGACCCACAUGCAGAACAAACUGUACAGUGCACAGAAAUCACACUGCAACAAUGAAGGAAUGGGGCCAGGAUUGUGUUUUGGUAACAGUGAGGAGGCACCAGCAACAAGUUGUGGAUUGGCUGCCCCCCCUAUGCUGCACCAUGCAUUCACGCGUUGGCCACGCGUAGAGUGCAUGAUCCAGCUCAGGGCAUGCAGACAUCUCAGGAGGGCAGCAGGGUGAGGUAACUCAAGCAAAGGACACCGCUGCCUCCAUGGGGAUUCCCACAAGGCCCUGAGCCAACCAGUCCUGCACCUUAUGUCCAAUCUGAGCUGUGCUGGCUGAUGGUCCUUUUGGGAUCUCUUACCGGAUCAGUAGCUGUGCAAUACAGUGCUUAAAAGCUUGCUUUGGCUGA